rnacentral:rRNA from 1 species
AGAGUUUGAUCAUGGCUCAGAAUCAACGCUGGCGGCGCGCUUAACACAUGCAAGUCGCACGAGAAAGUGGAGCAAUCCAUGAGUAAAGUGGCGUACGGGUGAGUAACACGUGGAUCAUCUACCUCUUGGUGGGGAAUAACCCUGGGAAACCGGGGCUAAUACCGCAUAAGCCUGCAAAGGGAAAGCAGCAAUGCGCCGAGAGAGGAGUCCGCGGCCGAUUAGCUGGUUGGUAGGGUAAUGGCCUACCAAGGCAAUGAUCGGUAGCCGGCCUGAGAGGGCACACGGCCACACUGGCACUGAAACACGGGCCAGACUCCUACGGGAGGCAGCAGUGGGGAAUCUUGCACAAUGGGGGAAACCCUGAUGCAGCGACGCCGCGUGAGCGAUGAAGCCCUUCGGGGUGUAAAGCUCUUUCGGCAGGAACGAUAAUGACGGUACCUGCAGAAGAAGCUGCGGCUAACUACGUGCCAGCAGCCGCGGUAAUACGUAGGCAGCAAGCGUUGUUCGGAAUUACUGGGCGUAAAGAGUGUGUAGGCGGUUCUCUAAGUUCCGUGUGAAAUCUCCCGGCUUAACUGGGAGGGUGCGCGGGAAACUGGAGGGCUGGAGUAUGGGAGAGGAAAGCGGAAUUCCUGGUGUAGCGGUGAAAUGCGUAGAUAUCAGGAGGAACACCUGCGGUGUAGACAGCUUUCUGGACCAUCACUGACGCUGAGACACGAAAGCGUGGGUAGCAAACAGGAUUAGAUACCCCUGUAGUCC